GAUGAACGCUGGCGGCGUGCCUAAUACAUGCAAGUCGAGCGAACGGACGAGAAGCUUGCUUCUCUGAUGUUAGCGGCGGACGGGUGAGUAACACGUGGAUAACCGACCUAUAAGACUGGGAUAACUUCGGGAAACCGGAGCUAAUACCGGAUAAUAUUUUGAACCGCAUGGUUCAACAGUGAAAGACGGUCUUGCUGUCACUUAUAGAUGGAUCCGCGCUGCAUUAGCUAGUUGGUAAGGUAACGGCUUACCAAGGCAACGAUGCAUAGCCGACCUGAGAGGGUGAUCGGCCACACUGGAACUGAGACACGGUCCAGACUCCUACGGGAGGCAGCAGUAGGGAAUCUUCCGCAAUGGGCGAAAGCCUGACGGAGCAACGCCGCGUGAGUGAUGAAGGUCUUCGGAUCGUAAAACUCUGUUAUUAGGGAAGAACAUAUGUGUAAGUAACUGUGCACAUCUUGACGGUACCUAAACAGAAAGCCACGGCUAACUACGUG
rnacentral:rRNA from 1 species